UAGGGAAUCUUCGGCAAUGGACGAAAGUCUGACCGAGCAACGCCGCGUGAGUGAAGAAGGUUUUCGGAUCGUAAAACUCUGUUGUUAGAGAAGAACAAGGACGUUAGUAACUGAACGUCCCCUGACGGUAUCUAACCAGAAAGCCACGGCUAACUACGUGCCAGCAGCCGCGGUAAUACGUAGGUGGCAAGCGUUGUCCGGAUUUAUUGGGCGUAAAGCGAGCGCAGGCGGUUUCUUAAGUCUGAUGUGAAAGCCCCCGGCUCAACCGGGGAGGGUCAUUGGAAACUGGGAGACUUGAGUGCAGAAGAGGAGAGUGGAAUUCAAUGUGUAGCGGUGAAAUGCGUAGAUAUAUGGAGGGACACCAGUGGCGAAGGCGGCUCUCUGGUCUGUAACUGACGCUGAGGCUCGAAAGCGUGGGGAGCAAACAGG
rnacentral:rRNA from 1 species